AUGAAAGAGCCUAGCAGCGGAAACGACAACAAUGGAUCCCGUAUUUGCCGGAGACCACCAGCGGCCACCACCGAAGCAUUUCUGCUGUCGUUAAUUCCAAAACAGCAGACAUCCGAUUUGCCGCCGCAUACGAAUUGUCCCAUCGCGGCUGCUCCGCCAGUUGCGGCGGCGACAAAGCAAUGGUUUCGGCCCACGCUUGAAUUGGGGAUUAUUUUAAACUUGUUCGUGUUCACCAUGCUAAUGUAAAUCACUAACCGCUUUGCUGCAUUCGUCUCGGUGUUUUUGGUUUCCAUUCAAACCCCAAUUGCAUUUCAAAGAUUGGGAGCUUCAGUGAAUAGGUUGUCUAAGAUUGUUUCAGAAGAGGUGCAUGGGACUCUAUCUUCUCUCAAACUUUCUAGCAUGGAGCUGAAUGAUUUGACCCAAAAGCUUGGUAAUUUAAGGCAUAUAAUUUCUGGAGUUCGCAUAGGAAGGAAGGAAGAAAGCAGUACCAGUUCGAGAUCCUAUCUUAAGAACCCAGCAUCAUAACACCAGCAAUAUCGUGGACGUGCAUAAGGAUGUUGUUUCUGGGAUUAAGCUUGGUUGAAUAGGAGUCAUUGAGUUGGUGUAUGAUCUUUUCAUUGUCUUGGAUUCUAUUGAAAUCACAAGCUAUCUGUUGAAAAACGAACAUCUAGUGCUUUCAAAUUUAAAGCUGCCAUUGCAAAAUAGUAAGAAAAAUUGCUCAAUCAGGGCCCUAGUCUCUAUGUUGAGUGUUGACCCUGAAUAUUAAUCCAUUUCUAAAACAGAUAUUCUAUACUUCAAUAUAGGUUACAAAAUGUGAAUAUUGUGAUGACUCUGUUCAUUUUUGAAGCUAUGGAAUCUCGAUCUGUAAAUAAAUUUGAAUCUUAGGUUUAUUGUAAUAUGUAAUUUCAUUGAGGCAGAACAUGUAUCAGUUGACUAUAUUGGAAAAGAAUAUUUACAGUUUUGCAUGC